GUGGUGGGCGCCUGCAGGGUCAGCUACUCCGGAGGCUCUGGGAGGAGAAUCGCUUGAAUGAUCAUCGUCCCUGGGGGACUGAUUCCGGGAAUCCCUGCAAAUAACAGAUUCCACGGAUGCUCACAUCCCUUAUACAAAAUGGCAUAGUAUUUGUCUGUAACCUACACAAAUCAUUCCUAGAUAACUUACAAUAUUUAAUACAAUGGUAAAAGGUAUGUAAAUACGUAAAUCAUUGGUACACUGUAUUGUUUUGGAAAUAAUCACAAGAAAAAAAGUCUGUACAUGUUCAGUGCAGAGGUAACCAUUCAUUCAUUCUUUUUUUUUUUUUUUUUUUUUUGCUGUUGUUGCCCAGGCUGGAGUGCAGUGGCACAGUCUUGGCUCAUUGCAACCUCCACCUCCAAUGUUCAAGCGAUUCAUCUGCCUCAGCCUCCCGAAUACCUGGGAUUACAGAGAUAGAGGAUCCUUUCCCUGUGCAAUAGGCCGAACAUUUUGCAAAACACUUCUCAGCUGAGGUUUCCUAUGGUCCUUCCUCGAGAUCCUAAGAAGAGAUUGUGACAUUGGUUUAACAGAAGUGGAGACUAAGGUGCAGAGAGGCUAUUUAUCACUUCCUCAAGGUCAGUCAGCUCACCGAUAGUAAUGCAGACAUCAAUCAGACAAUCUAUUGCUUCCACAUCUAUUUUCCCACUCUAUCAUGUUUUCUUUUUGUUUUUAAAAUUCUGAAACAUAGCAUACUUACAAAAAUAGUAUGGGAAAAUAUCUAUGUAUUUAAAGAACAAUCAUGUACCAUGUACCCACCACCAGCCCAAGGAACAGAAUUAAACAUAGCCCAGAAGCCCCCUAUGUAGCCCUCCCCAGAAAUAGCCUCUAUGCUGCGUUGUGUUUAUUCUCUUGUCUUUUUUUCAUUUUUUUUUGAGAUGGAGUUUCGCUCUUGUUACCCAGGCUGGAGUGCAAUGGCGCGAUCUCGGCUCACCACAACCUCCACCUCCUGGGUUCAAGCAAUUCUACUGCCUCAGCCUCCCAAGUAGCUGGGACUACAGGCGCGUGCCACCAUGCCCAGCUAAUUUUUGUAUUUUUAGUAGAGACAGGGUUUCACCAUGUUGACUAGGAUGGUCUCGAUCUGUUGGC
rnacentral:lncRNA from 13 species